rnacentral:rRNA from 1 species
AUGUGUGUCACAAAGAAUAAAGGUGGAUUGGGCUUAAGAGACCUUCACAACUUUAAUCUUGCUAUGUUAGCAAAGCAGUGUUGGCGACUUCUUCAAAAUCCGGACUCUUUGUGUGCACGAGUUUUGAGUGCAAAAUACUACCCUAACGGGGACAUCCUAAAAGCGGGACCGAAGAAAGGGUCUUCAUUUACAUGGCAAAGUAUUUUAGCCGGGGUUCAGACUUUCAAAAGGGGCUGCAUAUGGCAAAUUGGAUCUGGCUCACACAUCAAUAUUUGGGAAGAUCCAUAG